GACGAACGCUGGCGGCGUGCUUAACACAUGCAAGUCGAACGAAGUGGCGAACGGGUGAGUAACGCGAAAUCAACCUGCCCUUCAGAGGGGGACAACAGAUGGAAACGACUGCUAAUAUCGAAUACUGAAGGAGGGGAUUGCGUCUGAUUAGCAAGUUGGAGGGGUACGGGCCCACCAAGGCGAUGAGCAGUAGCCGGUCUGAGAGGAUGAACGGCCACAUUGAGACUGAGACACGGCCCAGACUCCUACGGUAGGCAGCAGUGGGGAAUCUUCCGCAAUGGACGAAAGUCUGACGGAGCAACGCCGCGUGAGUGAUGACGGCCUUCGGGUUGUAAAGCUCUGUUAAUCGGGACGCGGUACCGGAAUAGAAAGCCACGGCUAACUACGUACCAGCAGCCGCGGUAAUAC
rnacentral:rRNA from 1 species